rnacentral:tRNA from 1 species
UAUAGGGUGCCUGAAAGAAAGGGUAAUUUUGAUAGAAUUAAUCAUGUGUCUCCAACACCCCUAUAA